rnacentral:pre_miRNA from 1 species
GUUUCAAAUUGCCUAAACCCAACUUCUCUCCUCUACUCAAUAAACAAAGAGUAGGGGAGAGAAGUUGGGUUUAGGCAACUCGAAUU